CAGAGUUCUCGCCCUCACGGGUAGAUCUCCCACCCACUGUUAUUGAUACUGUGUUGCUUUGGCGGGCCGCCGGGCCCUGCUCGGCCGCCGGCUCCGGCUGGCGCGCGCCCGCCAGAGGCUCCGCAAACUCUGAAUGUCAGCGUCGUCUGAGUACUAUAUAAUAGUUA
rnacentral:misc_RNA from 1 species